rnacentral:rRNA from 1 species
AGCGAACGCUGGCGGCAGGCUUAACACAUGCAAGUCGAGCGGGCGUAGCAAUACGUCAGCGGCAGACGGGUGAGUAACGCGUGGGAACGUACCUUUUGGUUCGGAACAACCCAGGGAAACUUGGGCUAAUACCGGAUAAGCCCUUACGGGGAAAGAUUUAUCGCCGAAAGAUCGGCCCGCGUCUGAUUAGCUAGUUGGUGAGGUAAUGGCUCACCAAGGCGACGAUCAGUAGCUGGUCUGAGAGGAUGAUCAGCCACAUUGGGACUGAGACACGGCCCAAACUCCUACGGGAGGCAGCAGUGGGGAAUAUUGGACAAUGGGGGCAACCCUGAUCCAGCCAUGCCGCGUGAGUGAUGAAGGCCCUAGGGUUGUAAAGCUCUUUUGUGCGGGAAGAUAAUGACGGUACCGCAAGAAUAAGCCCCGGCUAACUUCGUG